UACGUAGGGGCAAGCGUUGUCCGGAAUCAUUGGGCGUAAAGCGCGUGUAGGCGGCCCGAUAAGUCCGCUGUGAAAGUCCAGGGCUCAACCCUGGAAUGCCGGUGGAUACUGUCGGGCUCGAGUCCGGAAGAGGCGAGUGGAAUUCCGAGUGUAGAGGUGAAAUUCGUAGAUAUUCGGAGGAACACCAGUGGCGAAGGCGGCUCACUGGCCCGAUACUGACGCUGAGGCACGAAAGCGUGGGGAGCAAACAGG
rnacentral:rRNA from 1 species